rnacentral:rRNA from 1 species
CCCUUAGAUGUUCUGGGCCACACGCGCGCUACACUGAUGCAUUCAACGAGCCUAUCCUUGACCGACAGGUCCGGGUAAUCUUUGAAUCUGCAUCGUGACGGGGAUAGAUUAUUGCAAUUAUUAAUCUUCAACGAGGAAUGCCUAGUAGGCGCAAGUCAUCAGCUUGCGUCGAUUACGUCCCUGCCCUUUGUACACACCGCCCGUCGCUCCUACCGAUUGGGUGUGCUGGUGAAAUGUUCGGAUCGGCCGUUUGUCGCGGUUUCCGCGUCAUGUGGCUGAGAAGUUCAUUAAACCCUCCCACCGAGAGGAAGGAGAAGUCGUAACA